AAUACUAGAGUUUGAUCCUGGCUCAGAACGAACGCUGGCGGCAUGCCUAACACAUGCAAGUCGAACGUGAUCCGGGGCUUCGGUUCCGGUGAAAGUGGCGGACGGGUGAGUAACGCGUGGGAACCUGCCCAGUGGUAGGGGAUAACCGCGGGAAACUGCGGCUAAUACCCUAUGCGCCCUGCGGGGCAAAGAUUUAUCGCCAUUGGAGGGGCCCGCGUCGGAUUAGGUAGUUGGUGGGGUAACGGCCUACCAAGCCAUCGAUCCGUAGCUGGUCUGAGAGGAUGAUCAGCCACACUGGGACUGAGACACGGCCCAGACUCCUACGGGAGGCAGCAGUGGGGAGUAUUGGACAAUGGGGGCAACCCUGAUCCAGCAAUGCCGCGUGAGUGAUGAAGGCCUUAGGGUUGUAAAGCUCUUUCGGCGGGGAAGAUGAUGACGGUACCCGCAGAAGAAGCCCCGGCUAACCUCGUGCCAGCAGCCGCGGUAAUACGAAGGGGGCUAGCGUUGUUCGGAAUUACUGGGCGUAAAGGGCGCGUAGGCGGUCUUGUCAGUCAGGCGUGAAAGGCCCGGGCUCAACCUGGGGACUGCGCUUGAUACUGCGAGGCUUGAAUCCGGGAGAGGAUGGCGGAAUUCCCAGUGUAGAGGUGAAAUUCGUAGAUAUUGGGAAGAACACCGGUGGCGAAGGCGGCCAUCUUGGA
rnacentral:rRNA from 1 species